ACCGGAUACAGGUGCUGCGAUGGCUGUCGUCAGCUCGUGUCGUGAGAUGUUGGGUUAAGUCCGCAACGAGCGCAACCCUCGCCCUUAGUUGCCAGCAUUUAGUUGGGCACUCUAAGGGGACUGCCGGUGAUAAGCCGAGAGGAAGGUGGGAUGACGUCAAGUCCUCAUGGCCCUUACGGGCUGGGCUACACACGUGCUACAAUAGCCGGUACAAAGGGUUGCGAAGCCGUGAGGUGGAGCGAAUCUCAAAAAGCCGGCCUCAGUUCGGAUUGGAGGCUGCAACUCGCCUCCAUGAAGUCGGAAUCGCUAGUAACCGCAGAUCAGCUACGUUGCGGUGAAUACGUUCCCGGGCCUU
rnacentral:rRNA from 1 species